GGAUGUGCGGGCGAUCUGGCUGCGACAUCUGUCACCCCAUUGAUCACCAGGGUUGAUUCGGCUGAUCUGGCUGGCUAGGCGGGUGUCCCCUUCCUCCCUCACCGCUCCAUGUGCAUCUCUCCCGAAGCUGCACGCUCGGUCGAAGAGAGCGAGGACCGGUCUUCGGUCAAGGGUAUACGAGUAGCUGCGCUCCCCUGCUAGAACCUCCAAACAAGCUCUCAAGGAAACACUGGACAAGCACAUGGUGUACAUACAUCUAUAGAGGCAAACACUCAUAUGCAUGAAAAUAAAAAUAAUUCCCUAAAAAAUAUUUCAU
rnacentral:snRNA from 1 species